GUCCUUACUUCAGCAGCACAUAUAAUAAAAUUUGAACAAUAUAAAGAAAUUUAGCAAGGCCCUUGCACAAGGAUGACAAAUAAAUCCAUGAAACAUUCCAUAUUUUU